UAAAUUUAAAUUAAAAACAUAGCCAAUAUUAGUCUACAUUGACAAAAAGUACACUGUGCAAGUGCUACGGAGUUAAGAAGGAUACAAUUCGCAAGAAAGGAAAAAAGUAAAAUAAAACUCCAGACGUUAAAACCAUGAUUUACUGGCUACUAAAGACCAAUUGUUAAUUCUAAAAAGAACACAUGUUCCACUGCAACAUAAGUUACAUAACCCUUUCAAGAGUCAAGUCCAGAUCCCGAAUUAGGUGUGGAAUUUUGCAGGCAUGAGGUAGGUAUUAGUAUAGAGUUAAUAAUGCUCCUGACACUACACUUCCUUGUUAAUGAUGUAAUCCCCCUUGCUAAAAGAUUAAAAGUCAAAAUCUAGGACCACCACCCAGAAAUAUCUGGUGCAAAAGUCAACUGAUCAAAUUUUCAGCCUACAAAGAUCCAGACCCACAUCCGAAAACCCAGACCCAGAAAUGUGGUUCUAACUAGUAUUUGAUUUAGAAAUAUAAUACCCAUCCCAUGCCUUAUCUUUAAAGGUCGGUCGAAAAGACUAUUGUCACUACUAUCUGUCAUGACUGUUUAAAUCAGCUCCAGAUUAGUACAUAAAUAACAAAUAAUAAUAAUAAAAAGUCAGAACAAUUUCCAUCUGAGUGGUGUUUUGGGACUCAACAGGCACAGUAAUGCAAGCAUGCAACAUACGACACGAAGCCCAAUACAAAACAAUAAUCAGAAAGAUAAUAGUGCACUAUAAUUUUGUCUAUAAUUAUAUGUAACGAAAGUUCUACAAUAACAUGGUGCGGCAGGAAUCAAUCUAAUAGAGAAAAAGGAUGGCACUGUCACUAGGCAAAAACAACAGCAUAAACUUGGCUGAAGUUAGUGCUGUUGAUUAUUUUACUUUCAACGAGACCUGGUAUAUGCAUGUGAAGUCCCACACUUUGAUAAGACAAAGUUUAAGCAAAGUGAGUGAGUGGUUGAAAUAAUAAGGUUGUUUGUUUUGCUUAUCAAAUAAAACUAUAAAAAGUAAGAUUAAUAAUCAUUUUGUUUCUUUGUUUAAUUUUCUUUCAAAAGAAGGCUCGGUGGUAGACACGUUCUCAAACAAUAAAGAAACCUAACCAAAUUCCCAACUUCUCAAGCCAAACCAAAGUAUGGAUAAUAAGUUAGCUAAACCUAAAACUAAGCUACCUGAUCAAGAGGGCUGACAGGUUGCUUAUCUACGGAAUCUUACAAUCUAUCGAUAAUUAUCAUUCAGCACAUAUGAAAUCAGUCAGGUGGUAUGGGACUUCAGGUAAAUGAUUUCUUUCUCAAACUUUAAAACAAGAGAGCUGACAUUUCACACCCAUAUACAAUAAUCUAAGUCCUGGAAGUUGCAUUAUAGUUAGGUAUGUGGUGUUUAUUAAGCAAGACAAUAGGGUUGACAAGAAACAAACAAAAAUCCAGAAAAUGGUAAUUACUUGUUACUUUUCCAAAAAGGCAAACUGAGUAAGUUGGCCAACUCGGCCAAACAGAUACAUACAGAUAGCUUUGGCAAUCUUUGUUGAAGAGACAAAAAGAGUUAAUCUCUAAAGAACAAAUGAUUAACAAUGCAUGGUCUAGUGGAAUCCGUCUUUCUCCAUAGAUAUCUCCCUAAUUACAAAAUGACCUCAGAUUUUAAUGGAUGGACAUAAGCAUUAGGCAGUAACUGAGAAAUCUAAGAUUGAGAUUCACACAAAAUAAAGUCUACCUAUCUAUUUAUUUUUGGCCGUACAAGAUACCAAGGAAAAGUGGUGGUGGUGGUGGUGAUCAUUUCAAGAAGAAAAGAAUUGUUUCUAUCUUUUAAUCAAAAUAAUAAUGGAAAAGAUAAACAAAAAUAACACUUUUAUCACGCCCUCCGUGAACGAUGUAGUUUCCAGAACAGGAAGGAGAAAAGAAAAAAAACUCUUUUUUGUUCUUUUGUUGAUUUUGUUUGUUUCCAAAGGAACUGGAUGAAUGAAGGGAGGGGACUGAUUUUAUUUCCGGGGGGAAAUCAGAAAUUGAUACCUGUCUACACUAAAAUGCCAGUGCCUAAGAAUUUACUACGGCGAACAAGAGGAAGAGUUUGAUCACCAAAUCUUAAGAAGAAUUAAAAAAAAAAAAAAACGAUCUUUCAAUGUAAACUCGGAAACAGAAGAGCGCAAAUACAAAAUAAUCGAAUAAA